AUGGCUCAACCCUCUGUCAUUCUUGCAACUGCAAGUUAUGAUCACACAAUCAGAUUUUGGGAAGCCAAGAGUGGUCGCUGUUACCGCACUAUUCAGUAUCCAGACUCGCAAGUCAAUCGCCUUGAGAUAACCCCGGACAAGCGAUUCCUAGCUGCUGCUGGCAAUUCCCAUAUCCGCCUUUUUGAUGUUAACUCAAAUAGCCCACAACCGGUAAUUAGCUAUGAUUCGCAUACUAGUAAUGUGAUGGCUGUGGGGUUCCAUUGUGAUGGCAACUGGAUGUACUCAGGUUCUGAGGAUGGCACUGUGAGAAUUUGGGAUUUACGGACUGCCACUUGUCAACGAGAAUAUGAAAGUCGCGCAGCUGUCAACACCGUGGUCCUACACCCAAAUCAGAAAGAACUAAUAUCUGGCGACCAGAACGGAAACAUACGUGUGUGGGAUUUGGCAGCUAAUUCAUGCAGCUGCGAGUUGGUGCCAGAGGUCGAUACAGCUAUAAGAUCUCUGACAGUCAUGUGGGAUGGGAGUAUGGUUGUUGCUGCAAAUAACCGUGGGACAUGUUACGUUUGGCGCUUGCUUAAGGGUACUCAGACAAUCACCAGCUUUGAGCCCCUCCAUAAGCUGCAAGCCCAUGAUGGCUACAUUCUGAAGUGCCUGCUUUCACCUGAAUUUUGUGACCCUAACAGGUAUCUUGCAACUGCAUCAUCUGACCACACUGUAAAGAUUUGGAACGUGGAUGGCUUCAAGUUGGAAAAAACUUUAGUCGGUCACCAGCGCUGGGUCUGGGACUGCGUUUUCUCGGUAGACGGAGCUUAUCUGAUAACAGCUUCGUCUGAUACGACGGCAAGACUCUGGACAAUGUCGACCGGAGAGGCCAUCAGGGUGUACCAGGGGCACCACAAAGCAACCGUCUGCUGCGCCCUCCAUGACGGGGCUGAAUCGGCACCAUCAUAA
rnacentral:rRNA from 1 species